UACGGGGGGGGGCAAGCGUUGUUCGGAAUUACUGGGCGUAAAGGGCUCGUAGGCGGCCAACUAAGUCAGACGUGAAAUCCCCAGGCUCAACCUGGGAACUGCGUCUGAUACUGGAUGGCUUGAAUUCGGGAGAGGGAUGCAGAAUUCCAGGUGUAGCGGUGAAAUGCGUAGAUAUCAGGAGGAACACCGGUGGCGAAGGCGGGUCUCUGGGCAACAACUGACGCUGAGGAGCGAAAGCGUGGGGAGCGAACAGG
rnacentral:rRNA from 1 species